rnacentral:tRNA from 1 species
CAUCAAGUAGUUUAAUUAAAAUGUAGGUUUUGGGGAUUUAUGAUAUCUUAAUGAUCUUGAUGA